rnacentral:rRNA from 1 species
UACGGAGGGUGCGAGCGUUAUCCGGAAUCACUGGGUUUAAAGGGUGCGUAGGUGGGUUGGUAAGUCAGUGGUGAAAUCUCCGUGCUUAACAUGGAAACUGCCAUUGAUACUACUGAUCUUGAAUUUUCAGGAGGUAAGCGGAAUAUGUCAUGUAGCGGUGAAAUGCUUAGAUAUGACAUAGAACACCAAUUGCGAAGGCAGCUUACUACAGGAAUAUUGACACUGAUGCACGAAAGCGUGGGUAGCAAACAGG